GACGAACGCUGGCGGCGUGCUUAACACAUGCAAGUCGAACGGAAAGGCCCCCUUGUGGGGUACUCGAGUGGCGAACGGGUGAGUAACACGUGAGUAACCUACCCUUGACUCUGGGAUAACUUCAUGAAACUGGGGCUAAUACCGGAUAGGAGCUCCUGCCGCAUGGUGGUGGUUGGAAAGUUUCGGCGGUUGGGGAUGGACUCGCGGCCUAUCAGCUUGUUGGUGGGGUAGUGGCCCACCAAGGCGUUGACGGGUAGCCGGCCUGAGAGGGUGACCGGCCCCAUUGGGACUGAGAUACGGCCCAGACUCCUACGGGAGGCAGCAGUGGGGAAUAUUGCACAAUGGGAGGAAGCCUGAUGCAGCAACGCCGCGUGCGGGAUGACGGCCUUCGGGUUGUAAACCGCUUUCGCCUGUGACGAAGCGUGAGUGACGGUAAUGGGUAAAGAAGCACCGGCUAACUACGUG
rnacentral:rRNA from 1 species